CAGCAGUGGGGAAUAUUGCACAAUGGGGGAAACCCUGAUGCAGCGACGCCGCGUGAGUGAAGAAGUAUUUCGGUAUGUAAAGCUCUAUCAGCAGGGAAGAAAAUGACGGUACCUGACUAAGAAGCCCCGGCUAACUACGUGCCAGCAGCCGCGGUAAUACGUAGGGGGCAAGCGUUAUCCGGAUUUACUGGGUGUAAAGGGAGCGUAGACGGUUUUGCAAGUCUGAAGUGAAAGCCCGGGGCUUAACCCCGGGACUGCUUUGGAAACUGUAGAACUAGAGUGCAGGAGAGGUAAGUGGAAUUCCUAGUGUAGCGGUGAAAUGCGUAGAUAUUAGGAGGAACACCAGUGGCGAAGGCGGCUUACUGGACUGUAACUGACGUUGAGGCUCGAAAGCGUGGGGAGCAAACAGGAUUAGAUACCCUGGUAGUCCACGCCGUAAACGAUGUCGACUUGGAGGUUGUGCCCUUGAGGCGUGGCUUCCGGAGCUAACGCGUUAAGUCGACCGCCUGGGGAGUACGGCCGCAAGGUUAAAACUCAAAUGAAUUGACGGGGGCCCGCACAAGCGGUGGAGCAUGUGGUUUAAUUCGAUGCAACGCGAAGAACCUUACCUGGUCUUGACAUCCACGGAAGUUUUCAGAGAUGAGAAUGUGCCUUCGGGAACCGUGAGACAGGUGCUGCAUGGCUGUCGUCAGCUCGUGUUGUGAAAUGUUGGGUUAAGUCCCGCAACGAGCGCAACCCUUAUCCUUUGUUGCCAGCGGUCCGGCCGGGAACUCAAAGGAGACUGCCAGUGAUAAACUGGAGGAAGGUGGGGAUGACGUCAAGUCAUCAUGGCCCUUACGACCAGGGCUACACACGUGCUACAAUGGCGCAUACAAAGAGAAGCGACCUCGCGAGAGCAAGCGGACCUCAUAAAGUGCGUCGUAGUCCGGAUUGGAGUCUGCAACUCGACUCCAUGAAGUCGGAAUCGCUAGUAAUCGUGGAUCAGAAUGCCACGGUGAAUACGUUCCCGGGCCUUGUACACACCGCCCGUCACACCAUGGGAGUGGGUUGCAAAAGAAGUAGGUAGCUUAACCUUCGGGAGGGCGCUUACCACUUUGUGAUUCAUGACUGGGGUGAAGUCGUAACAAGGUAACCGUAGGGGAACCUGCGGUUG
rnacentral:rRNA from 1 species